UUUUUUAAAUAGCUGGAGUUACACAUAUGUUGAUAUAUAGGCGAUUUGAUAUGUAUGCAAUUUUGUUGUGUUGACAGCAAACUUCAAAACUUCUUAUGUCAAAUUUGCUGAAGGUGUUAACAUCAUAAAUAUUUUUAUGCUUAAAAAUGUCAAAUUUUGUGCCAAAAAAAGAGCAAUUGGGGGAAGUUUUAAUUCAUUAUUUUAUUUUGAAGAAAAGUGCUGCU